AUUGAACGCUGGCGGCAUGCCUUACACAUGCAAGUCGAACGGCAGCACGGGGCAACCUGGUGGCGAGUGGCGAACGGGUGAGUAAUGCAUCGGAACGUACCUUUCAGUGGGGGAUAACGUAGCGAAAGUUACGCUAAUACUGCAUAUGCUGUGAGCAGGAAAGCAGGGGAUCGCAAGACCUUGCGCUGACUGAGCGGCCGAUGUCAGAUUAGCGAGUUGGGGAGGUAAAGGCUCACCAAGGCGACGAUCUGUAGCGGGUCUGAGAGGAUGAUCCGCCACACUGGAACUGAGGCACGGUCCAGACUCCUACGGGAGGCAGCAGUGGGGAAUUUUGGACAAUGGGGGCAACCCUGAUCCAGCCAUGCCGCGUGAGUGAAGAAGGCCUUCGGGUUGUAAAGCUCUUUCGGCCGGGAAGAAAUCGCACGGGCUAAUACCCUGUGUGGAUGACGGUACCGGAAUAAGAAGCACCGGCUAACUACGUGCCAGCAGCCGCCGUAACAC
rnacentral:rRNA from 1 species